CAAGUCUGAGCGGCAGCGCGGGGGAACCCUGGCGGGAGCGGCGAACGGGGCCUUUCGGAACGUACCCUGACGUGGGGGAUAACACAAAAACUUGCUAAUACCGCAUACGACCUGAGGGUGAAAGCGGGGGACCGAAGGGCCUCGCGCGACAGGAGCGGCCGAUAUCGGAUUAGCUAGUUGGUGGGGUAAAGGCUCACCAAGGCGACGAUCCGUAGCUGGUCUGAAGGAUGAUCAGCCACACUGGAACUGAGACACGGUCCAGACUCCUACGGGAGGCAGCAGUGGGGAAUUUUGGACAAUGGGGGCAACCCUGAUCCAGCCAUUCCGCGCGAGUGAAGAAGGCCUUCGGGUUGUAAAGCUUUUCGGAGGAACGAAACGGCGGGCUCUAACAUAGUCUGUCAAUGACGGUACCUGAAGAAGAAGCACCGGCUAACUACGUGCCAGCAGCCGCGGUAAUACGUAGGGUGCGAGCGUUAAUCGGAAUUACUGGGCGUAAAGCGUGCGCAGGCGGUUUCGUAAGACAGAUGUGAAAUCCCCGGGCUUAACCUGGGAACUGCGUUUGUGACUGCGAGACUUGAGUGUGGCAGAGGGGGGUGGAAUUCCACGUGUAGCAGUGAAAUGCGUAGAGAUGUGGAGGAACACCGAUGGCGAAGGCAGCCCCCUGGGUUAACACUGACGCUCAUGCACGAAAAGCGUGGGGAGCAAACAGGAUUAGAUCCCCUGGUUUU
rnacentral:rRNA from 1 species